UACAGAGGUCCCAAGCGUUGUUCGGAUUCACUGGGCGUAAAGGGUGCGUAGGUGGCCAGGUAAGUUUGGUGUGAAAGCUCGGAGCUUAACUCCGAAAAGUCAUUGAAUACUAUCUGGCUGGAGGGUCGGAGGGGAGACUGGAAUUCUCGGUGUAGCAGUGAAAUGCGUAGAUGUCGAGAGGAACACCAGUGGCGAAGGCGAGUCUCUGGACGACUCCUGACACUGAGGCACGAAAGCUAGGGGAGCAAACAGG
rnacentral:rRNA from 1 species